UGCACUUUUCUAUUUGGUGCUGCAGACAAAUAGGUUAUGGGAAACUUCUCAACCCCUCCUUCCUCUCUCCCCCUCUCACUGGCUCUCGCUUAUACGGUAGCUGUCGUUCUGGUGCGCCUGGACUGCGCUCUUGUGAGAAUCAGUGCCGCUAAGGCACGCGUAAUGAACAGAGUAUUAGCGGCAAUUUUAAACCGAACGCUCCUCGUGCACGCCGGGUUCUUACCUACAGCUGGAGUUGCAUCUGGUCACGUCGACAUCUGCGUAAUUAAAAAAAAGCCUUUGCUCAAGGCUGAAGAGAAACGUGACCAUUAACCACAGAGCAGAUGAAAACUGAUACCAAUGUUCUCAAAAGAUGAGUGAUGUUUCGGAGGUGCUGCGUUGUUCUUUGAUGUGAGGAAGGAAGGUUGAGAAAGAGAAAGCUGUCCAGCACAAGCCACCCUCAUUAGUGUCCAGCGCCCGAAGACACAGGUCACAAAACCCAAUGAACUGGCCAUUUGAUUCAGCUCUGCAGACACUCAGCCCUAAUGCUGCGGUCCGCUCUGACAGCACAUCAUACGCAACACUCAAAGCAGCUUGAAUAACCCUUGGACCGCAUACGGAGUGCAUUAUUUUUUAUGACGAAACCGCUAUAGGGUCCAACUUCUCAACCUGCUUGUAGAUUACAUUCAUUCAAUAAAUUGUGCAUUUUUGAUUUUCUCAACAAAAAAAACG
rnacentral:lncRNA from 1 species